AUAAAGUAGUUCAGCGUUUUUCAAUGACAUAUUGUCUAAUGAUCUUUCAUUUUUUCUCAUUCUGUGUAUUGUGC
rnacentral:tRNA from 1 species